AUCUUUUCUUGAGAAGUUGCUGAAGAUUGUUUUAUGAGAGUAUUAUAAGUCACUGCAUUUGGUAAUCAAGUGUUGCUUUCCCAAACGAAGUGACUUAUAAUGAUCUCAUGAAUCGAUUUUUGCAAAGUCUUAAGAGAGUAA